CCUACGGGCGGCAGCAGUGGGGAAUAUUGGACAAUGGGGGGAACCCUGAUCCAGCCAUGCCGCGUGUGUGAAGAAGGCCCUCGGGUUGUAAAGCACUUUCAGUGAGGAAGAACGCCUGGUGGUUAAUACCCAUCAGGAAAGACAUCACUCACAGAGGAAGCACCGGCUAACUCCGUGCCAGCAGCCGCGGUAAUACGGAGGGUGCGAGCGUUAAUCGGAAUUACUGGGCGUAAAGCGCGCGUAGGUGGCUUGAUAAGCCGGUUGUGAAAGCCCCGGGCUCAACCUGGGAACGGCAUCCGGAACUGUCAAGCUAGAGUGCAGGAGAGGAAGGUAGAAUUCCCGGUGUAGCGGUGAAAUGCGUAGAGAUCGGGAGGAAUACCAGUGGCGAAGGCGGCCUUCUGGACUGACACUGACACUGAGGUGCGAAAGCGUGGGUAGCAAACAGGAUUAGAUACCCCUGUAGUC
rnacentral:rRNA from 1 species